UACGUAGGGAGCAAGCGUUGUUCGGAUUUACUGGGCGUAAAGGGCGCGUAGGCGGCAAAUUAAGUCAGCUGUGAAAUCUCCGAGCUUAACUCGGAACGGUCAGCUGAUACUGAUCUGCUAGAGUGCGGAAGGGGCAAUCGGAAUUCUUGGUGUAGCGGUGAAAUGCGUAGAUAUCGAGAGGAACACCUGCGGCGAAGGCGGGUUGCUGGGCUGACACUGACGCUGAGGAGCGAAAGCAUGGGGAGCGAACAGG
rnacentral:rRNA from 1 species